rnacentral:tRNA from 1 species
ACUAUUUUGGCAGAUUAGUGCAAUAAAUUUAGAAUUUAUUUAUGUAGUUUUUAUUACAAAUAGUA